rnacentral:rRNA from 1 species
UACGUAGGGGGCUAGCGUUGUCCGGAAUCAUUGGGCGUAAAGAGCGUGUAGGCGGUCCGGUAAGUCCGUUGUGAAAGUCAGGGGCUCAACCCUUGAAUGCCGGCGGAUACUGUCGGGCUAGAGUCCGGAAGAGGCAAGUGGAAUUCCCGGUGUAGCGGUGAAAUGCGCAGAUAUCGGGAGGAACACCGGUGGCGAAGGCGGGUCUCUGGGCAGUAACUGACGCUGAGGAGCGAAAGCGUGGGGAGCGAACAGG